GUUGCACCGGCCUAUAUAUGUCC
rnacentral:siRNA from 1 species